CGAAGCUGUAGUUUAAUUAAAAUAUUAGCAUUGGAAGCUAAAGAUUGAGUGUUAACCUCACGCUUUGA
rnacentral:tRNA from 2 species